CCACGAUCUGGACGUUGUAGCCGGACCCGAAGAAGAGCACGUUCGCGUUGUGGAGGGCGGGGUCAACGACGGCCGCCACGGCCGGGUCGACCUGGCCGCCGGAACCAUACGCGGAGGCAGCGACGAGCCGGCGGGAGGAGGAGAGGUGGAGGGGGCGGCGAGAAGGGGUUGGGAGAUGGGGUGGGAAUCGAGGAGAAGGGCGGAGGGAGGGAAUGGGGAGGGUUUUGGCGAAGGGGAAUUGGAUGAGGUUAGCGGUGGACGCAGCCAUUCGCGGAAGCUUUUUGGGCCGAGGGAGGAGGGUGGAGAGAGGGUGAGCGAUACGAAGCUUAUCCGCUUAUAUCGUCAUA
rnacentral:lncRNA from 1 species